UGCAAUUUAGAGAAAAUUGUAACUUUGGGCCCAAAGGUUUGAAUAAUUAAAUUCAAACCUAUAGUUUUUUUUAUAUAAUUUUGGGACUCACAAUCCCAUUUUUAUAUUAUUUUUCUCUCUUCCUCUCACGUUGCUCGGCGUUUUCUCGCAAGGGGGGAUUAUUUUCUUUUUUCUUCAGAUUAUAUUGACAAAGAUAGUGGUGAAAAAGGAGUUGUGAAGGGGAACUUGUUAUUCAAGACACAAGGAGCGAGUCCGGCCGAGAAAGCACCAGAGGUGUAACUAUGGUGAAGGGAGUAAUUCACACGUUGAAAUGUCAAGCACGACGCGUCAAUGAAAGAAGUGAGGGGGGACAGCCGUGAAAAUAACAGCCAGCAGAUUGGCUUCCACAAAUACUGUCUCAAUUAUUCGUGGAGCCUUGAUGCCUUUAUCAGUGAAUCCGCUAUUUCAACUCAUCAAAUAAUUGGGAUUGAAGGAAAGCUUUAAAAUUUAAAGCCAAUAGUUGAGCAGAGAAGUUAGUUAUGUAGACAUCCGGAUUCCGACGGGGUUUGCAGGGAGUUGCGUCACAUCGUUUUAGUCACCUCAGAUUUGAUGAUUUCUUCGGCCGA